UCAAGCUGUAAAGGGCGCAAGGGGAAUGCCUUGGCACUGAGAGCCGACGAAGGACGCGACAAGCUGCGAUAAGCUACGGGGAGCCGCAAAUGGGCUUUGAUCCGUGGAUUUCCGAAUGGGGAAACCCGAUGGAGCAAUACUCCAUCAACCAUGACUGAAUACAUAGGUCAUGGUGGGGAACCGCCUGAACUGAAACAUCUAAGUAGGGCGAGGAAGAGAAAUCAACCGAGAUUCCGCUAGUAGUGGCGAGCGAACGCGGAAGAGGCCAAACCGGAGGUAGCAAUAUUUCCGGGGUUAGGACUGUAACAUGUAGCUUUGAUUUUUAACUGAAUGCUUUGGGAAGAGCAGCGAUACAGGGUGAUAGCCCCGUAAGUGAAAAGAAUCGAGCGCUAACAGUAUCCAGAGUACCAGCGGACACGUGAAACCCGCUGGGAAGAUGGGGGGACCAUCCUCCAAGCCUAAAUACUACUCAGUGACCGAUAGUGGAGCAGUACCGUGAGGGAAAGGUGAAAAGUACCCCGGGAGGGGAGUGAAAAAGAACCUGAAACCUUGUGCCUACAAGCACCGAGAGCACGUUAAAGUGUGAUCGGGUACUUUUUGUAGAACGGUCCGGCGAGUUAAUAUUUGCAGCGAGGUUAAGGAACUGGAGUUCCGGAGCCGCAGCGAGAGCGAGUCUGAAAAGGGCGUAUGAAGUUGCAGGUAUUAGACCCGAAACCGGGUGACCUAUCCAUGAGCAGGCUGAAGCGGUGGUAAGACACCGUGGAGGGCCGCACCCACGUCUGUUGAAAAAGCCGGGGAUGACUUGUGGAUAGCGGAGAAAUUCCAAUCGAACUCGGAGAUAGCUGGUUCUCCCCGAAAUAGCUUUAGGGCUAGCGUUAUUUUAGAUUACCGGAGGUAAAGCACUGAAUGGUCUAGGGGCCGCGAGGUUACCAAAGCCUAUCAAACUCUGAAUGCCGGAUAAUUGAUGAAUAGCAGUCAGACUGUGUGAGAUAAGUCUCAUAGUCAAAAGGGAAACAGCCCAGAUCUACAGCUAAGGUCCCAAAUGAACACUAAGUGGAAAAUGAUGUGAAACUGCGAAGACAACCAGGAUGUUGGCUUAGAAGCAGCCACUCAUUCAAAGAGUGCGUAAUAGCUCACUGGUCGAGUGGUUUUGCGCAGAAAAUGUAACGGGGCUAAGUGUUCAACCGAAGCUUAGGCAUUGCAGUAAUGCAUUGGGUAGGGGAGCGUCGUAUGCGGGGCGAAGUCAGAGCGGAAGCACUGGUGGACUGCAUACGAGUGAGAAUGCCGGAAUAAGUAGCGAGAAUUAUGUGAGAAUCAUAAUGGCCGAAAAUCUAAGGUUUCUUGGGGAAGGUUCGUCCGCCCAAGGUUAGUCGGGAGCUAAGCUCAGGCCGAAAGGCGUAGGCGAUGCACAUACGGUAGAAAUUCCGUAACCACCGAACAUUUAAGCUAGAGGGACGCUUUCUUUAAGUCUAUCCCGGGCGAUGGUUGCCCCGGGCGUAAGGGACCGAAAUAUAGUAGGGAAGUAGAUGGCGAGAGAGACGAGAAAAGCUCUAGUGUAUACUAAGGUGCCCGUACCGCAAACCGACACAGGUAGAUGGGAUGAGUAUUCUAAGGCCAACGGGAGAAGGGUUGUUAAGGAACUCGGCAAAUUGGCCCCGUAACUUCGGGAUAAGGGGCGCCUGCGAGAGCAGGCCGCAGUGAAAAGGCCCAAGCGACUGUUUAGCAAAAACACAGCUCUCUGCUAAAUCGAAAGAUGACGUAUAGGGGGUGACGCCUGCCCGGUGCUGGAAGGUUAAGGGGAGUGCUUAGCGCAAGCGAAGGUGCGAACUUAAGCCCCAGUAAACGGCGGCCGUAACUAUAACGGUCCUAAGGUAGCGAAAUUCCUUGUCAGGUAAGUUCUG
rnacentral:rRNA from 1 species